rnacentral:rRNA from 1 species
ACUAUCAUUAACUGAAUCCAUAGGUUAAUGAGGCGAACCGGGGGAACUGAAACAUCUAAGUACCCCGAGGAAAAGAAAUCAACCGAGAUUCCCCCAGUAGCGGCGAGCGAACGGGGAGCAGCCCAGAGCCUGAAUCAGUGUGUGUGUUAGUGGAAGCGUCUGGAAAGGCGCGCGAUACAGGGUGACAGCCCCGUACACAAAAAUGCACAUGCUGUGAGCUCGAUGAGUAGGGCGGGACACGUGGUAUCCUGUCUGAAUAUGGGGGGACCAUCCUCCAAGGCUAAAUACUCCUGACUGACCGAUAGUGAACCAGUACCGUGAGGGAAAGGCGAAAAGAACCCCGGCGAGGGGAGUGAAAAAGAACCUGAAACCGUGUACGUACAAGCAGUGGGAGCACGCUUAGGCGUGUGACUGCGUACCUUUUGUAUAAUGGGUCAGCGACUUAUAUUCUGUAGCAAGGUUAACCGAAUAGGGGAGCCGAAGGGAAACCGAGUCUUAACUGGGCGUUAAGUUGCAGGGUAUAGACCCGAAACCCGGUGAUCUAGCCAUGGGCAGGUUGAAGGUUGGGUAACACUAACUGGAGGACCGAACCGACUAAUGUUGAAAAAUUAGCGGAUGACUUGUGGCUGGGGGUGAAAGGCCAAUCAAACCGGGAGAUAGCUGGUUCUCCCCGAAAGCUAUUUAGGUAGCGCCUCGUGAAUUCAUCUCCGGGGGUAGAGCACUGUUUCGGCAAGGGGGUCAUCCCGACUUACCAACCCGAUGCAAACUGCGAAUACCGGAGAAUGUUAUCACGGGAGACACACGGCGGGUGCUAACGUCCGUCGUGAAGAGGGAAACAACCCAGACCGCCAGCUAAGGUCCCAAAGUCAUGGUUAAGUGGGAAACGAUGUGGGAAGGCCCAGACAGCCAGGAUGUUGGCUUAGAAGCAGCCAUCAUUUAAAGAAAGCGUAAUAGCUCACUGGUCGAGUCGGCCUGCGCGGAAGAUGUAACGGGGCUAAACCAUGCACCGAAGCUGCGGCAGCGACGCUUAUGCGUUGUUGGGUAGGGGAGCGUUCUGUAAGCCUGUGAAGGUGUGCUGUGAGGCAUGCUGGAGGUAUCAGAAGUGCGAAUGCUGACAUAAGUAACGAUAAAGCGGGUGAAAAGCCCGCUCGCCGGAAGACCAAGGGUUCCUGUCCAACGUUAAUCGGGGCAGGGUGAGUCGACCCCUAAGGCGAGGCCGAAAGGCGUAGUCGAUGGGAAACAGGUUAAUAUUCCUGUACUUGGUGUUACUGCGAAGGGGGGACGGAGAAGGCUAUGUUGGCCGGGCGACGGUUGUCCCGGUUUAAGCGUGUAGGCUGGUUUUCCAGGCAAAUCCGGAAAAUCAAGGCUGAGGCGUGAUGACGAGGCACUACGGUGCUGAAGCAACAAAUGCCCUGCUUCCAGGAAAAGCCUCUAAGCAUCAGGUAACAUCAAAUCGUACCCCAAACCGACACAGGUGGUCAGGUAGAGAAUACCAAGGCGCUUGAGAGAACUCGGGUGAAGGAACUAGGCAAAAUGGUGCCGUAACUUCGGGAGAAGGCACGCUGAUAUGUAGGUGAAGUCCCUCGCGGAUGGAGCUGAAAUCAGUCGAAGAUACCAGCUGGCUGCAACUGUUUAUUAAAAACACAGCACUGUGCAAACACGAAAGUGGACGUAUACGGUGUGACGCCUGCCCGGUGCCGGAAGGUUAAUUGAUGGGGUCAGCGCAAGCGAAGCUCUUGAUCGAAGCCCCGGUAAACGGCGGCCGUAACUAUAACGGUCCUAAGGUAGCGAAAUUCCUUGUCGGGUAAGUUCCGACCUGCACGAAUGGCGUAAUGAUGGCCAGGCUGUCUCCACCCGAGACUCAGUGAAAUUGAACUCGCUGUGAAGAUGCAGUGUACCCGCGGCAAGACGGAAAGACCCCGUGAACCUUUACUAUAGCUUGACACUGAACAUUGAGCCUUGAUGUGUAGGAUAGGUGGGAGGCUUUGAAGUGUGGACGCCAGUCUGCAUGGAGCCGACCUUGAAAUACCACCCUUUAAUGUUUGAUGUUCUAACGUUGACCCGUAAUCCGGGUUGCGGACAGUGUCUGGUGGGUAGUUUGACUGGGGCGGUCUCCUCCUAAAGAGUAACGGAGGAGCACGAAGGUUGGCUAAUCCUGGUCGGACAUCAGGAGGUUAGUGCAAUGGCAUAAGCCAGCUUGACUGCGAGCGUGACGGCGCGAGCAGGUGCGAAAGCAGGUCAUAGUGAUCCGGUGGUUCUGAAUGGAAGGGCCAUCGCUCAACGGAUAAAAGGUACUCCGGGGAUAACAGGCUGAUACCGCCCAAGAGUUCAUAUCGACGGCGGUGUUUGGCACCUCGAUGUCGGCUCAUCACAUCCUGGGGCUGAAGUAGGUCCCAAGGGUAUGGCUGUUCGCCAUUUAAAGUGGUACGCGAGCUGGGUUUAGAACGUCGUGAGACAGUUCGGUCCCUAUCUGCCGUGGGCGCUGGAGAACUGAGGGGGGCUGCUCCUAGUACGAGAGGACCGGAGUGGACGCAUCACUGGUGUUCGGGUUGUCAUGCCAAUGGCACUGCCCGGUAGCUAAAUGCGGAAGAGAUAAGUGCUGAAAGCAUCUAAGCACGAAACUUGCCCCGAGAUGAGUUCU